UUAAGCGACUAAGCGUACACGGUGGAUGCCCUGGCAGUCAGAGGCGAUGAAGGGCGUGCUAAUCUGCGAUAAGCGCCGGUAAGGUGAUAUGAACCGUUAUAACCGGCGAUACCCGAAUGGGGAAACCCAGUGUGAUUCGUCACACUAUCAUUAACUGAAUCCAUAGGUUAAUGAGGCGAACCGGGGGAACUGAAACAUCUAAGUACCCCGAGGAAAAGAAAUCAACCGAGAUUCCCCCAGUAGCGGCGAGCGAACGGGGAGGAGCCCAGAGCCUGAAUCAGCAUGUGUGUUAGUGGAAGCGUCUGGAAAGGUGCGCGAUACAGGGUGACAGCCCCGUACACAAAAGCGCAUGUGCUGUGAGCUCGAUGAGUAGGGCGGGACACGUGGUAUCCUGUCUGAAUAUGGGGGGACCAUCCUCCAAGGCUAAAUACUCCUGACUGACCGAUAGUGAACCAGUACCGUGAGGGAAAGGCGAAAAGAACCCCGGCGAGGGGAGUGAAAAAGAACCUGAAACCGUGUACGUACAAGCAGUGGGAGCACAGGUUUACCUGUGUGACUGCGUACCUUUUGUAUAAUGGGUCAGCGACUUAUAUUCUGUAGCAAGGUUAACCGAAUAGGGGAGCCGGAGGGAAACCGAGUCUUAAUUGGGCGUUAAGUUGCAGGGUAUAGACCCGAAACCCGGUGAUCUAGCCAUGGGCAGGUUGAAGGUUGGGUAACACUAACUGGAGGACCGAACCGACUAAUGUUGAAAAAUUAGCGGAUGACCUGUGGCUGGGGGUGAAAGGCCAAUCAAACCGGGAGAUAGCUGGUUCUCCCCGAAAGCUAUUUAGGUAGCGCCUCGUGAAUUCAUCUCCGGGGGUAGAGCACUGUUUCGGCUAGGGGGCCAUCCCGGCUUACCAACCCGAUGCAAACUGCGAAUACCGGAGAAUGUUAUCACGGGAGACACACGGCGGGUGCUAACGUCCGUCGUGAAGAGGGAAACAACCCAGACCGCCAGCUAAGGUCCCAAAGUCAUGGUUAAGUGGGAAACGAUGUGGGAAGGCCCAGACAGCCAGGAUGUUGGCUUAGAAGCAGCCAUCAUUUAAAGAAAGCGUAAUAGCUCACUGGUCGAGUCGGCCUGCGCGGAAGAUGUAACGGGGCUAAACCAUGCACCGAAGCUGCGGCAGCGAACGUAUCACCCAAGACAACUUUACGGAGUUGACGAUUGACGGAGCGAAGCGACGUCAAAGCGUUCAUUAAAGUCGAGUUGGCUUAGGGAUACGUUCGUUGGGUAGGGGAGCGUUCUGUAAGCCUGUGAAGGUGUGUCGUGAGGCAUGCUGGAGGUAUCAGAAGUGCGAAUGCUGACAUAAGUAACGAUAAAGCGGGUGAAAAGCCCGCUCGCCGGAAGACCAAGGGUUCCUGUCCAACGUUAAUCGGGGCAGGGUGAGUCGACCCCUAAGGCGAGGCCGAAAGGCGUAGUCGAUGGGAAACGGGUUAAUAUUCCCGUACUUGGUGUUACUGCGAAGGGGGGACGGAGAAGGCUAUGUUGGCCGGGCGACGGUUGUCCCGGUUUAAGCGUGUAGGUGUGUGUUCCAGGUAAAUCCGGUUCACUUUAACACUGAGGCGUGACGACGAGGCACUACGGUGCUGAAGCAACAAAUGCCCUGCUUCCAGGAAAAGCCUCUAAGCAUCAGGUAACACGAAAUCGUACCCCAAACCGACACAGGUGGUCAGGUAGAGAAUACCAAGGCGCUUGAGAGAACUCGGGUGAAGGAACUAGGCAAAAUGGUGCCGUAACUUCGGGAGAAGGCACGCUGACACGUAGGUGAAGUGAUUUACUCAUGGAGCUGAAGUCAGUCGAAGAUACCAGCUGGCUGCAACUGUUUAUUAAAAACACAGCACUGUGCAAACACGAAAGUGGACGUAUACGGUGUGACGCCUGCCCGGUGCCGGAAGGUUAAUUGAUGGGGUCAGCGCAAGCGAAGCUCCUGAUCGAAGCCCCGGUAAACGGCGGCCGUAACUAUAACGGUCCUAAGGUAGCGAAAUUCCUUGUCGGGUAAGUUCCGACCUGCACGAAUGGCGUAAUGAUGGCCAGGCUGUCUCCACCCGAGACUCAGUGAAAUUGAACUCGCUGUGAAGAUGCAGUGUACCCGCGGCAAGACGGAAAGACCCCGUGAACCUUUACUAUAGCUUGACACUGAACAUUGAGCCUUGAUGUGUAGGAUAGGUGGGAGGCUUUGAAGUGUGGACGCCAGUCUGCAUGGAGCCGACCUUGAAAUACCACCCUUUAAUGUUUGAUGUUCUAACGUGGACCCGUAAUCCGGGUUGCGGACAGUGUCUGGUGGGUAGUUUGACUGGGGCGGUCUCCUCCUAAAGAGUAACGGAGGAGCACGAAGGUUGGCUAAUCCUGGUCGGACAUCAGGAGGUUAGUGCAAUGGCAUAAGCCAGCUUGACUGCGAGCGUGACGGCGCGAGCAGGUGCGAAAGCAGGUCAUAGUGAUCCGGUGGUUCUGAAUGGAAGGGCCAUCGCUCAACGGAUAAAAGGUACUCCGGGGAUAACAGGCUGAUACCGCCCAAGAGUUCAUAUCGACGGCGGUGUUUGGCACCUCGAUGUCGGCUCAUCACAUCCUGGGGCUGAAGUAGGUCCCAAGGGUAUGGCUGUUCGCCAUUUAAAGUGGUACGCGAGCUGGGUUUAGAACGUCGUGAGACAGUUCGGUCCCUAUCUGCCGUGGGCGCUGGAGAACUGAGGGGGGCUGCUCCUAGUACGAGAGGACCGGAGUGGACGCAUCACUGGUGUUCGGGUUGUCAUGCCAAUGGCACUGCCCGGUAGCUAAAUGCGGAAGAGAUAAGUGCUGAAAGCAUCUAAGCACGAAACUUGCCCCGAGAUGAGUUCUCCCUGAGACUUAGAGUCUCCUGAAGGAACGUUGAAGACGACGACGUUGAUAGGCCGGGUGUGUAAGCGCAGCGAUGCGUUGAGCUAACCGGUACUAAUGAACCGUGAGGCUUAACCUU
rnacentral:rRNA from 1 species